GUGGGGAAUUUUGCGCAAUGGGCGAAAGCCUGACGCAGCGACGCCGCGUGGGUGAUGAAGGCCCUCGGGUUGUAAAGCCCUGUGGGGAGGGAAGAAUAAGGAGUGGCUAAUACCCGCUCUGAUGACGGUACCUCCUUAGCAAGCACCGGCUAACUCUGUGCCAGCAGCCGCGGUAAGACAGAGGGUGCAAACGUUGUUCGGAAUUACUGGGCGUAAAGCGCGUGUAGGCGGCCAUGCAAGUCGGGUGUGAAAGCCCUGGGCUUAACCGAGGAAGUGCACUCGAAACUGCAUGGCUCGAGUUCCGGAGAGGAUGGUGGAAUUCUCGGUGUAGAGGUGAAAUUCGUAGAUAUCGAGAGGAACACCCGUGGCGAAGGCGGCCAUCUGGACGGAAACUGACGCUGAGACGCGAAAGCGUGGGUAGCAAACAGGAUUAGAAACCCCUGUAGUCC
rnacentral:rRNA from 1 species